rnacentral:tRNA from 1 species
GCUGGAAUGGCCGAGUCGUUAAGGCGAGUGAUUUGAAUUUCCCCGUUCACUUCCGAACGCUGCUUUUCAAAGGUUAUCACUUGGUGUUUCACCGCGUAGGUUCAAAUCCUGCUUCCAGCG